AAGGUUGAUAAAAGCAAAUCCAAAUUUUAUAAGGCUGAGAUCGAGUUAACUGUCUAUUUGAUUAUUCAAUAACAAUCACUAUCUAUAAUUUUUAGGUAACGGUGAUUUAAUAACAGUUCGUGAAUUUUCGUUCAUCUUUAAAUAUUUACUAAAUAUGGCAACGUUGUACUGAUUUACUAACCGCGCAAUUCUCUCAAGUGUUCAAGAAAAUUAUGGUGCAAAAAGUUGUGUAAACACCGUAGACGUGAGGGGAAUAUAUUUUAAGAGGUCCAACUGGUCUGGUCAAUGUAAUAUGAAUUCAGUCAGUCAUAAAAUAUGUGGUAUACAUUUAAACAAAUCUAACGAUGUGGUAAACUACCAAAAUUUCAAUUAAAAUUUUAAUUGAUGAAAAUUUCCUAGAUUAUUCAGGUGGUGAUAACUGAAAUACUAAACUGAUGAUUUACAUUUAGGUUGUCUGUGAAGCAAGCCGUUUAUCAUGUUUACCAAUCAUCAAAUAAAUUUGAAAGACAUUGACCAGUAAAUGGAGCGAAGAUUACAUUGAGUACAGUUUGAAACAACAUCUAUAUUUCUAUUCAAACCAAGUUAAUUGGAUCAAAUGGGACGCACCAAUCAUCUAGUUAAUGACAAAUUUACGUUUUCCCAUUAAUUUAUAUACAAUAAUAUAAAAGAUAUACACGUAAAUGAAAGAAUUUGUCAAAGUUGAAUCCUACUAUAUAACUUAUUUUCGACUGCAUCAAAAACAAAUAAAAUUUUAUAUUAAUAUGUGCAUGUAAAUCAUGACAAUGGGAUUAAAGUAAUCUGAACUAUUUUAUGAUUUUUUGAGACUUAAAGAUAUAGUAUAGGAUUAGUGAAAACCAAUAAAAAUAUAAAUCAGCUUCAAAUGUAUUUCGGUACGUUUAGUAAUGGACAUUCAUUCAUGAAAAUGAAAAAGAUUGUUGCUGAACAAAUAUAUUCAAUAGGGAGAUUCAAAACCUCUCUGAUAAUUAAUUGUGAAAUAUUGAAU